GCCGCGGGAGGAGGAAAUUCCCUACAAAAUAGCAAUGGUUCCGAGAAAAGGAUCACAACAAAAUAUUGAAUAAAUUCCCUUUUAAUUUAUUUGAUCAUUCCACAUUACGGGGCUAUGAAUUGCUCAAAUUUGAUAACAAGUACUCAAUUCAACUCAUUAUAUUUCUGAGUGCAUAAAAAUGGACCCAAACUAUCUUCUGGUGAAGAAUCGAGAGCUGGCUCUGCAGUUGAGUGCUCGGUGAAGCUGCUGUGUUUGGGAACAUCACUUUUGCCAGGACGGACUUUCCUAGCUGUGUGCAGGAAAGAGAUGUUGCUGUGCCAUUCUACACAGGACCAAUUGCUGGAGGAUUCUUCACUCAUAAAACUUGCCAGAGGAUAAUGACCUCGGAGGUCCCUGAAUCACAAUAGCAGGCUUCUGUUCAGUGAAG
rnacentral:lncRNA from 1 species